rnacentral:rRNA from 1 species
AGUUUGAUCAGUGGCUCAGGACGAACGCUGGCGGCGUGCUUAACACAUGCAAGUCGAACGGUGACCCAGGGCUUGCCCUGGUGAUCAGUGGCGAACGGGUGAGUAACACGUGGGCAACCUGCCCCUGACUUCGGGAUAACUCCUCGAAAGAGGAGCUAAUACCGGAUACGACCACUUCGGACAUCCGAUGGUGGUGGAAAGUUCUUCGGUCAGGGAUGGGCCCGCGGCCUAUCAGCUAGUUGGUGGGGUAAUGGCCUACCAAGGCGACGACGGGUAGCCGGCCUGAGAGGGCGACCGGCCACACUGGGACUGAGACACGGCCCAGACUCCUACGGGAGGCAGCAGUGGGGAAUAUUGCGCAAUGGGCGAAAGCCUGACGCAGCGACGCCGCGUGAGGGAUGAAGGCCUUCGGGUUGUAAACCUCUUUCAGCAGGGACGAAGCGAAAGUGACGGUACCUGCAGAAGAAGCACCGGCUAACUACGUG